CUCAGUAACACGUGGAUAAUCUGCCCUUAGGUGGAGGAUAACCUCGGGAAACUGAGAAUAAUACUCCAUAGAUCUAGGAUGCUGGAAUGCACUUAGAUUGAAAGUUCCGACGCCUAAGGAUGAGUCUGCGGACUAUCAGGUAGUAGUCAGGGUAAAGGCCUGACUAGCCUACGACGGAUACGGGUUGUGAGAGCAAUAACCCGGAGACGAUAUCUGAGACACGAUAUCGGGCCCUACGGGGCGCAGCAGGCGCGAAACCUUCACAAUGUGCGAAAGCACGAUGAGGGGAUCCCAAGUGCUUGCUCGUAAGAGUAAGCUGUUUUUAUGUCUAAAACGCAUAGAGAGUAAGGGCUGGGUAAGACGGGUGCCAGCCGCCGCGGUAAUACCUGCAGCUCAAGUGGUGACCACUAUUAUUGGGCCUAAAACGUUCGUAGCCGGUUUGGUAAAUGCCUGGGUAAAUCGUGUAGCUUAACUAUACGAAUUCCGGGUAGACUGCCAAACUUGAGACCGGGAGAAGCUAGAGGUACUCCUGGGGUAGAGGUGAAAUUCUGUAAUCCUGGGGGGACCACCAGUGGCGAAGGCGUCUAGCUAGAACGGGUUUGACGGUGAGGAACGAAGCCCUGGGGCGCAAACCGGAUUAGAUACCCGGGUAGUCCAGGGUGUAAACGCUGCUUGCUUGAUGUUAGUUGGGCUCCGAGCCCAAUUAGUGUCGGAGAGAAGUUGUUAAGCAGGCUGCCUGGGAAGUACGAUCGCAAGAUGAAACUAAAG
rnacentral:rRNA from 1 species